rnacentral:lncRNA from 1 species
UAUAUCACUCAAAUGAAAGAAGAAUAUCAAUAUUUAAAAUAUAGAAACAAAUAUUUUAUAAAUAUCAAAUUGAAAAAUAUUGAUUUAAAAUUUAACAUCAAAUAUCAAAAUCUAACUUUAUCUAGCUAUGCAAGUAUGCAAAUCCUAUAAGCCACAAUGUUACAUUUAACGUCAUUUUGACUUCCUCUUGCUUUUCCUUGUUGUACUUUUCCCUGGUUCCUACAUAAAUAAAACAAAAUAAAUUAUUUUUGAUACAUAUAAUAAGUAAAUCAAUUGAAAAUUAUAAUCUAUAACAAUACUUAGAGAGGUGCACUAUAUAAACGGAUGCAAUCUAGUUGCCACGAUAAAAGGUAAGAGCAUUAUAAUUCAUAUUCAUGUACAAACAUCACCAAAACUUUGAAACAAAACCAAUUUCAAGUUAGAGAUCAUCUUGCUAUCUCGCCCUCAUGGUUAAUGAUUAUAGAUAAGAAAUAUAAGGAACUAGGUUUUUGAGAAAUAAUCAAAGCAAUACAACAAUCACGUGAGAAGUUAUAGUAAAGGACCUCAACCAUGGGAAGUAUACAAAUUAUAUACGCAGGGAGCCGUAUUGGUCAAUGCAAUAAAAUGCCCAUACUAAAAGAACUAGUAAGACAUUAAUGAGAAGAAUAUAGUUUAUCAUCAUUGAUUGUGUCUAUAAUAUAUAUAAUUUUCUCAAUAGUUAGCAGGUUCAUGUUUUAUCUCUCUACACAUUCAUAUCAAGCGUAUAAUCAAUUAGGCAUUUUAUCAAACAUGUAAAAGGCGCAAACUAUGAUUAGCAUUGUUUGAUGCUUUCUAGCUCUAUCCCUUUUUCCUAUGAUUCUAAAAAAUUUCACAUACUCACGAAAGCCUAAGCAAUACUCUUCCCAAAAUCCAAAGCCAAGAAACAUAUUCAUAGAUUUAAAACGUCGAACAACAUCAAAAUUCGAUAUCCAAAUAUAACAGCUUUAAGCAAUUAUUGAACAUCAAAUUUCAUAGCAUGAAAAAGGUUUAUUCUGACCUUAAAGUUGUUCUUGCACCGGCUGAAAGAGGACUCAACGAUGGCGGCAGAAAAAGGGCGGCUCGUAGGAAUCUAACUCAUCGUAUAGUGGAAAAAUGAUAAGGGAUUUUUUCUUCUUUGUAAUGGUAUUAUAUAAGGAAUUAACCUAAUAUUGAGAAGUAAUCGUGUAUUGGAAUGGGAUAUCUUUUCCUGAAAAAUAGGAAACAAUAUAUUAGUAAAAAUUAAAAUCUAGAUUGUGCCAUCAAUUCUGAUCAAGUUUAGGUAAUCUCUG